AAAAAAUUAGUUAAAUUUAUAACAUUAGUUUGUCAAACUAAAAUUAUUUCUAUAAAUAUUUUUUA